CCACCCUAGUGCUUCCAGUCCCAACCACUAGAGACCAAGUCGGGUGAAGCAGGGAAAGGGAAGCAAGCACCCAACGAGGGACCCAGAAGGGCCUCAUAGCCCUAAGAAGUACUCACCCGUCCUCCCCUACAAAGGCUUCUCCUGUCCUGGACCUGGUUUCAGGACUGUCCAGGUGAUAGAAGGAAGAGAGGAGCUGGAAGCUGAACUUGCCUGGACAGAACCAAAAAGUUGCAAACUGACGGCACCUACUGGCAAUCAUCAAGACUGCAGAAGGUCUGGAGAGCUCUGGCAGGGGACAAGAUUGUACAAUCCUCUCCCUGCCAUCUCACAGACAUAUUGGGGUCUCUUCUGUAUUGGAGCACAGCAAAGAGAGCCAGCAUCCUCAUGUCCCUGGGAGAAGCCCAGCCUGUCCCUGAUUCAGAAAACUUCCCCCAGCCCUAUCGCCCUCAAUCAUCUUGAACCCAGUUCUGCCACCAACUUAUUGUAUGAAGUUGGACACCACUCCUUGGAGUUUGAAUGUCCCUAACUAUAAAAUAGAAGUAGGUCAUCUCCACCUAUUCUGCCUCUUAAAGCUCUUAUGAGAGUAAAAUGGGAUCAGAAAGGACAGUUCUGAUACCAAUGCCAGACUUGCCUCAUAGACAGCAAACUUGGGAGAGCUAAAGACACUGGGACGUGGAGGAAGGCGUGCAGGAGAGGCUGGACUUAGAGCAAAAAAGUACCUGAAGUGAAGCAUGAGUGCAGAUGUGAGAAAUCCAGAAAGGUUUCCAGGUGAGACAGGUGCCCAGACCUCUACCCCAGCAUCCCCCAUCCAUCUGCUGGUGCCCACCCACCACCCAACAGCACCGUCUGGAUUAAUUUCAAGGAAGCAGAAAAAUAGACAUAAGUAGGCCAUCCAAGCACCUCCCCAUCAUUCGUGCAACACAUAUUUACUGGACAGUGAUUUGCGCAGGCUUUGUGCUACAUACUGAGGACACAGAGAUGACCAAGAUCACUCUCUGCCUUCAAGGAGCUCACUGCCUAGUGAGGGAGGACAGGCAUAUAAAUAAAAUGAACCUAAGAAGUGUGCAGGUGCCCUGGGAGACAUUCAUGUGGGGCACCGUGGGGACCCAGACGCAUAAGUGGUCAGUUCUACGACCAAGGCAUGGAAAAGCUUCACAGAGAAGGUGACUCAUGAGCCAACCAUCUGCCACGCUAGAGUAAAAAGCACCAGUAUUAGCAUUAGGCUGACCUGGAUUCUAAUCCCAGCUUUGCCACUGGACUCACUGGGGAAUCUGAAACAAGUUUCUCUGAGCUCACUGUUCUUACCUGGAAAAUGGGGCUUUGUGAUAAGAAAGAUAAAAGCGUAAGGAGGGGAGAGAGAGAAAGACUGGAUUGUGCAAAUUGUCCAGCCUACAGGGGGCACUGAGCGUUUGCUCUUUCCUAUCAGCCACCCUGCUGGAAACUAAGGACCUUGGUCGUCCGGCACCACCCCCGCCCCCCAGCCCCGGCAGACUGGAGGCUCUCAGAGGACUAGGUUUAGUGUCCUCCUUGGGCUUGCUGGUGUCUGGGGAUGGGCUACAUAAAGGGCACAGAAUUUGGAGUAAGAAGACCUGGGUUCAAGUUGUAGCACAGCCGCUUAAGAGCUGUGUGACCUUGGAUACACACUUAAUGUCUGGAAGGGUCAUUUCAUCCUCUAUUUUAAAAAGAGGAAAAAUAAAAUUCUGAAUUCAGUUCUUCUGUGUUUUUUACAUGCUCCUGAAACAAAGAUAUAACUUAGAAAAUUAACCUUAAAAACAUAUAAUAAAAAUAAGAAAAGAAAGAGCAAGAGAGAGGUAAUUGGGCUUACCCCACAGGAUGAUUGCAAGAGAAAAUGAGAUAAUGGAUAAGAAAGGGUUCUGGAACCCAAGAAAUGGGGUACAGAGGCUGCUCAUUGAUUUUCUCCAACUGAUUGCUGCUUCCUUGAGGACCGAGAGCACCUCCAGGAGCCCCCGGAGACAGAAACAUCGCCUUCCUUCCCUGUCAUCUUUUCCAGCCCAGGGCUCUAUCAGAAAAGGAACCUGUUUGGGGCACCAGGGUGGCUCAGUUGGAAGAUCAUGCAAUUCUUGAUUUCGGGAUUGUGAGUUCCAGCCUCACAUUGGAUUACUGAAAA